AUCUUCGUCUUCGUCUUCGGGGAGUGGAGGAGGGGGCCGUCGCUGCUGGACGAGGAGCAGGAGGAGCAGGAGGAGGAGGAAUGACCAUUCAACACUUCUUAAAGGAGCAACGUAUCGCUACAGAAUGGACCAUGUUUUACCAAAUUUACUACAAGUCAAGCAUCUUUAUAUUACUGCUGACUAGAGGUUGUACUCCUCACAGCCCAUAGCCUGUUUAUCCACCUGACGACAGCAGAGCCACGCCCCCUCCUGCCAGAACUGAG